rnacentral:lncRNA from 1 species
AGUUCGCCUGUUCCUAUCCCUGCUGCUAGCUGGCAGUGACACUUCAUUUGCAGACUGAAGAACAGAUGACACUGUAAGUGGUUGGUGUCCCAAUGCCAUCUGGCACAUAAUAGCAAACACAGAUCCACUACCAUAUGGUGAAAUGCCAGUAGAACGAAGCAGUGGUUUCAUUUCAUCAUAAUGUGCUAACACAUGGGAGUAAAGAUGAGGCUAACAUGAUGGAAAAUGUCUUCGUGUUGAAAAUGGUGCCUGAGAUGAGCAAGGUCAGCAGACAAGAAGUGAGGUCAAUGUCAGGUUUCCAUGCCAGCAGCGGGAACUCUGGAUACAGUGGAGAGUCACAGCUGGUCAAACCCUGAACCGCUUGCUCCUUGAAAUGGCCAGAGAGGCCCAUCCCAGAGCCAUCUCAUCAUCUCUCCUCAGACAGGAAACCGAGAAGGAAAACAAUCAGCUCUGUUCUCUCUGGGCCGAGGGAGUGAGCUGUAAUGAGGGAGCACAGGAACGCAUUGGGCGCCCUCAGACCUGAACACACAGGUUAGCACCACCUGCCUGGCUGACCUGGCUCACAGUUGAGAAUAACUCAUCCAGGGUUGUUGAAUGGUGGAGGAUCUUCCAAAAUCAGCAGCUAGGAGGUCGAGAACCCUUCAUGCCAUACUAAGAAGUUUCAUGCUAGGCAAAGAAGAGUGACAAGGUAUUUCAACAGGUGAAUGAUAGGUACACAAAGAAGGAUUACCACAGGAAAUCCAGAGAGGCUUUAGAAGACGAGCUUGCGUUGAGAUAGAAGCCGGAAGCCCACUUAGCCAACUGCCUCCAUGGGACUUGGCAUGAGGCAGGCUUAUGACAGUAAAUGCUACACUGCCCUCAGUGAAAAAGAGAAUUUGGCAUUCAUUCUUCUGAACCCGCCAUCCCUCAGCCUUGGCGCCUGGGAAUUCUGCGAAUCGUUGCCUGUGGCAGUGACACUGAUUUGUAUCUGGGUAUGAACUUAAAUGAAAACAUGAAUUGAACUCAUUACUUGAGGAAGGAAACACUGCCAAAUUUAACAGGAUGAAAUUCCAGCAGGGUGUAAGGUUUUAUGGGGCUACAGUGGAAUAUCUCAUAGAAAGGUUUCCAGUUCAUAAAACACUUUCAAAACAUGCUCGGCCCUUUUAAGUUGAAGGGACAUUAUCAUUUCUAUCUAUGGCAUUUCUCUGCAAAUUGAACUCAAAUAUCCUUUGGGCUGACUACACAGAGAACAGAAGAAAGAAGUGGAAGAAACUUGGACUGAAGAUUGCCUCCCUGAAAAGGUUUUCUUCAGGCAGAAUUAGGAACUGCUUUUGCAAUAAGUAAAGUCAAUGAAGAAAGUAAGAGGAUUGCAAAGGUUUCCCCCGCUGAUUCUGCCAACAGAAAUGUUUUUAUUGUGCUGCUUUGGGUCUCAAGGGGUCAACCUGGUUCAAAUGUCUACAGGGGCAUGGCAUCUGCUGAUUGGCUUCUGCCUGAACUGCUGAACCAAUCAGUAAAAGGAACAAUGAGUUUACAUAAUUGGCUUAAGGACUGCAGUCAGCUCCUCAUCGUGCAGGAUGAGAGACUGGUGAAGAAUGUGAUGAAAUGGCUUAGGAAGCUAACCACAAUAUCUACACCCUAAUUAGUGAAGCUCCUAUGAUUGAGCUCAUCAGCCAUCGUUAGUGUUAGUAUAUUUUACAUGUGGCCCAAGACAACUCUUCUUCUUCCUAUGUCACCCAGGGAAGCCAGAAGAUUGGACACCCCUGAAUUAUUCUUGAAGAUAUUUACCCUGUCUAAUUCACUCUUAUAAGUGGCCUUCCUCCUCUACUAUUCCUAGACCAACGAUUUGCCUUCAAGGCACUUUCAAUCAGAUUGUAUCCUGAAGGCGUGGAAAAAAAACAGUGAAACAUUUCCAACUACAAUUUAAAGGAAUGCAUGUCAUUUAUUUAAAACAUAAAUCAGCAAACAGAGAGACAUAAAAUUACUAGUGGACUGCUUCAAGUUCAGAAGCCACUGCCCUGGUAGAGGAGUUACCAACGAUCACACAUCCUAUAGGAAUCCAACUACAGUGGCCCUGAGCUGAAACAGCAUGCGUUCCAUGCUCCUUUGCAUAAUUUGCCUACUUCUUCUCAUAUUUUGUAAAUAUAAAAUCUACUUCUGGUGUUAACUGAGCUUUGUCUCAUUACUUAUUAUUUUAUUACUCAUAUGAUUGUCGAAUGAAGAUGUCUUUGAGGGAUAGACUUUGUGAACUCUUCUUUUGUUAAGAAAAAAAGCGAUCCAUCUGGAAUGACGGGCCCUAGUAUAAGAAAAUCAACAUGAUCUCCUUUAAGUUUACCCUUCCCUGCCACUUGGGAAGCGCAGUCAGGCGCACAGGGAACAGAACUUUGGGGCAACUGCAAUAAACUCUCCAGCCAAGCUCCUUUACCAGGGGGACAAAACAGUUCACUGCAGCUCCAGCUUUGAUGAACUUUAUACUCGGAAUACUUUACUGCUUGAUUAAAAAUGUGCUCAUGCUUAAAGGCAGAUUGCCGAUGGGGUUUAUAAUCAGGCACAAAUACACGAAGAGAUUUAUUAGAGGUACUUUAUGUAACCAUUUUUCGGGAAAGUGAUUUUGUUUGAGAAGUUACUAGAGGCUGAAAUGACAGCUUCUCUGUAACUCUGGUAAGUUUUCUGAAUCAGUUCAUGUGGAAAUCAAAUUGCACCUGAGCAAAUAUUGAAGGGUGUAGCAAAAGGAAGGAAUAGCUUUCAUUUUGCAACCACAAAUAUUACAAUAG